UUUUUAUAUUUUUCUUCGAAAGACAUUUGGAUUUCAUGAUCAUUGCCGUUUUUGAAUUUUUUUUAUAUGUAUUCCUGAUUUUCAUACAAUUUUUUGAAAACUCGAAAAAUCUCUCCAAUUUGUAAUUAAAAUCACCGUGCGAAGUAGUGUGUACACCCCUUGCAUGUGGAGAUGUUUUUUACUGUGGAGAAUAUGAUUCCAACCCUAACGUCGUUCUGGCAUGUUUACUUUUCAAACUGUCAAACCCCCAUCGCCUCAUCUCCUGCUGAUUGUAGCAAGAAGACAGUCUUCGUCCCACUGCAUAUUUCGAUAACGGAACCGUGGCCACAGGACCGACGAAAAAAGAACGACGGCAAAGCUGCUGACGAAGUAAGCAGAAGUCUUAUCUGUCCAGCGGAUCACCUGUUGUACCAUCCCCAAUCAUUGUCAGUGACACAGAAGUAUUGCUUUUUCUGAUUUAAAAUCCGGAUCCAAGUCGGAAGAGCGGGAGUCCGUCCGUACUCCACAAUCCUAACCGCGAGAAGACAUCCGUGCGAAACGAGCUCCUCGCAGCAUUCCAAUCUCAUACAUAAGUUACCGCAGCACGCCACGACAUCCAUCCCAUACCCCUCGGCAGUUUCAACGAAAAUCUCAUCCAGGCCCAUGUCAUCAACCUCGAACCGGCUCACAGUUCCUUGAAAACCUCGCCCCAUUUCGAUGGACUUUAGGAUCGAUUCCCUGGCACUGUCUUCAGCUUCCUCGGUGUCUUCCUCCAGAAGGUCAUCUACCUACCGGAGGAAGCCUUCAAUGACCCACAGAUAUUCAAAGCCAUCAAAUUCAAAUCCGAAUAAUCGAAAGGACCGGAGAGCCUAGAUAAUGACAGCGAUAAAAUCGUCAAAUGUUUCCGGUGGGAGUUUUGUGCUUCCCAACGCCAUCGCCAGUCGGAUUUAGCAGGAUUUCACCAAAAUGAGUACCCAGAGAUCGGCGUCAUCAUUAUCGCGAGCAUCAGCCGUGCCAACUCCGGGUGAGCUCGACGUGUUACGGAUAAUGACGGUAAAUACGGAAGCGGAAGACACAAAAUUCUUGCUGUAGAACAACUUCAGCGGUCAGUACAACCAGUUUCGCCGGGGUAUGGACGGAAGCGGAACCACCAUGGAUCUGGACGACGACGACGGCGAGAACUAUUUACUGUGCGUACCUUCCUGCCCUGAAAGAGAUACGACCACCAUCAACCCGGAGGUGUUAUACUAACAGCUACGUGAGUGUACGGAGAAGCUGUAUACCGCUUCCUGACUCCGCUGUGCGUCUACCAGGUGGAAAACGUGGAUGACCGGUUAACGACGGCGGUUAUCAUCGGGUUUGAGUAUGGCCAGUCAACGUGACGUAGUUUUAGCGAAGAGGAAAAAAGGCAAGAAACAAACAUGUUUUUCAUGUUAUAUAUUUUUGAAAUAAACGUAUUUUGUGCUAUCAAACAAUUUAAGGACGUGAACAUUCUGAUUGCUUUGAAGAAUAUCUAAGACUACCUACUAGAAUUGGGUUCUUUAGGGGUAUCCAGAUUAUUGCAUAAUCGAAAUCUCCGUCCAAAAAUUAGUCGAAAUCCAAAAUUUCAUCAUUUAUGAUGCCCGGGAACUAUUUUUAAAAUGCAUUUAAAGUUUGUAUGGGGAAAUUUUUUUGUUCGGGGCGAACUGUCACUUCAUCGAUUGAACUGUCAUUCUAUCCACGGAAAUUAAAACUGUUUUGUUUGUUUAACCAUCAAAACGAAGGAAUUGGAACGCAAUAAAAUCACGUUAUACUCAGAAAAAUGAGCUCUUUCGAUUAGGCUAAAGAAAAUGGCAAUAUUUAAUUCACUAAACAACCCAAUUGGCUUCUUUAGCGUUGUUGAGAUAAUUCCAUAUUCUGAAUCUGCAUGCCAAACUGAGCUUAAAUCCAAAUUUUCAUGGAUUUUGAUGCCCGGGAACCUGUUUAAAAAUCAAUUUGAAGUUUGUAUGGGAGCGAUUUGUCGAAUCACCCCUUGUCGCAUUUUGUACUGGGUGGAGCUGUCAAACAGUUACCCAGCUGUCAAAAGGUGAUUUUGAAAAAGCUCUUUGAAAUUGAUUUUAGGUACCAAAAUAACGUUCUAAAAAUCUGCAAAAAAUCAUAGUGGCUCAGAAAAAGGUGCUCUUUCGUAUAAAAUCAAUAAAUCGAUACAUUUUUCUUAAUUUAAAAACCCAAUUAUUCAAUAAAAAUAAACUGGCCUAUUUUAACGUUAUGUGCGUCACCUAGCAAAUUAAGUGGACUUGGUGAACCUUGUAAGGAAACAUUCUGAUUGAAAUCGUUCAAAGCAAAAGUGACCUAUGUUAAAGUAAUCGUUAUGUGCAUCACCUAGCAACUAAAGAGGACUUGGUGAACCUUGUAUAAGGAAACAUUCUGAUUACUAAAAUCAUUCAAAGUAAAAGUGAUCUACUUUAAAGUAAACCUUACGUGCGUCACCUAGCAACUUAAGAGGACUUGGUGAACCUUCUUAAGGAAACAUUCUGAUUACUAACAUAAUCUAAAGCGAAAGUGAUCUAUAUUAAAGUAAUUGUUAUGUGCAUCACCUAGCAACUUAAGAGGACUUGGUGACCCUUUGAGGAAACAUUCUGAUUGAAAUCUUCCAAAGCAAAAGUGACCUAUGUCAAAGUAAUCGUUAUGGGACUUGGUGAACCUUUUAAGGAAACAUUCUGAUUGAAAUUGUUCAAAGCAAAAGUGACUUAUUUUAAAGUAAUCGUUAUGUGCAUCACCUAGCAACUUAAGUGGACUUGGUGAACCUUGUAUAAGGAAACAUUCUGAUUGAAAUCGUUCAAAUUGAUUUGUCUUCAUUAAAGAGACUUUCAGCUCCGCAAUCGUUCAACGCAAAAGUGACCUAUGUCAAAGUAAUCAUUAUGUGCAUCACCUAGCAACUUAAGAGGACUUGGUGAACCUUUUAAGGAAACAUUCUAAUUGAAAUCUUUCAAAGCAAAAGUGACCUAUGUCAAAGUAAUCGUUAUGUGCAUCACCUAGCAACUUAAGAGGACUUGGUGAACCUUUUAAGGAAACAUUCUAAUUGAAAUCUUUCAAAGCAAAAGUGACCUAUGUCAAAGUAAUCGUUAUGUGCAUCUCCUAGCAACUUAAGAGGACUUGGUGAACCCUUUAAGGAAGCUUUCUAAUUGAAAUAUUCCAAAGCAAAAGUGACCUAUGUCAAAGUAAUCGUUAUGUGCAUCACCUAGCAACUUAAGAGGACUUGGUGAACCUUUUAAGGAAACAU